UACGUAGGCAGCAAGCGUUGUUCGGAGUUACUGGGCGUAAAGAGUGCGUAGGCGGUCUUCUAAGUUUGGUGUGAAAUCUCCCGGCUUAACUGGGAGGGUGCGCCGAAAACUGGAAGGCUUGAGGAUGGGAGAGGCAUGCGGAAUUCCUGGUGUAGCGGUGAAAUGCGUAGAUAUCAGGAGGAACACCUGCGGUGUAGACAGCAUGCUGGACCAUUUCUGACGCUGAGGCACGAAAGCGUGGGUAGCAAACAGG
rnacentral:rRNA from 1 species